rnacentral:rRNA from 1 species
UACGUAGGGCGCAAGCGUUAUCCGGAAUUAUUGGGCGUAAAGAGCUCGUAGGCGGUUUGUCGCGUCUGCCGUGAAAGUCCGGGGCUCAACUCCGGAUCUGCGGUGGGUACGGGCAGACUAGAGUGAUGUAGGGGAGACUGGAAUUCCUGGUGUAGCGGUGAAAUGCGCAGAUAUCAGGAGGAACACCGAUGGCGAAGGCAGGUCUCUGGGCAUUAACUGACGCGAGGAGCGAAAGCAUGGGGAGCGAACAGG